rnacentral:rRNA from 1 species
GAUCCUGGCUCAGGAUGAACGCUAGCUACAGGCUUAACACAUGCAAGUCGAGGGGAGACGACAUCGAAAGCUUGCUUUUGAUGGGCAUCGACCAGCGCACGGGUGAGUAACGCGUAUCCAACCUGCCCAUCACUUGGGAAUAACCUUGCGAAAGUAAGACUAAUGCCCAAUGACAUCCCACGAAGGCAUCCGAAUGGGAUUAAAGAUUUAUCGGUGAUGGAUGGGGAUGCG